UAUAAGGGAACUGUGGUACGUCAUUUCAAGCUCCUUACGUACAGCUGCCACCGAAUCCAUUGGUUUUCGGAAAAUGCAAAAGAACAGCUGGUACGACGAGGAGUACCGUGUUGCAGCGGAGAGAAAACAGACUGCCUACCUCGCAACGUUACGAUCGACCACAACACGUGCGGGAUGGGAUCGAUACCGAGAGUUGAAGAGAGAAGCGAGACGCAUUUGAAGACAGAAAAAGAAAGAGAUCGAAAUGCGUGAUCUAGUGACCGAUGCUCAGAGCAUACUUAAAUUAUGGAGGAAACACUUCUCUAGCCUGCUGAAUGGCAGUGAACGUACAACGCCAAGAAAAGGCGAACCCGACAACAAAGCAGCGGGAGCUAUUCAAACACGGCGGCGAAGAACUGAUAAGGAGCAUGCAUCAACUUCUUUGUAAAAUAUGGUCGAAUGAAAGUAUGUCCAACGAUUAGAAUUUAAGUGUACUCUGCCCAAUCCACAGAAAGGGAGACCCCACAAUCGGAGAAUCGACACACCACCUCUUCGUCGAUUUCAAAGCUGCUUUCGACAGGCCGAAAAGGAGCUGCCUUUAUGCCGCGAUGUCUGAAUUUGGUAUCCCCUCAAACCUAAUACGACUUCUUCAACCUGCUGCUGUAGAAAAUAAUUCGAGCUGCAGAACUUAAUCGAGCAGGUACAAUCUUUUAUAAGAGUGUACAGCUGCUGGCGUAUGCCGAUGAUAUUGAUAUCAUUUAUGGUCCUUUGCACGUUGGCAUUGACAUAGUUCGGUGAAUUAAAAGACAGCGACUACGCUUGCUAGGCCAUGUCGUCCGAAUGGACGAAAACACUCCAGCUCUGAAAGUAUUCGACGCAGUACCCACCGGGGGAAGCCGAGGAAGACCUCCACUCCGUUGGAAGGUCCAGGUGGAGAAGGACCUGGCUUCGCUUCAUUUAAAGUGUAUUACUUUUUUAUUAUUUGUGAGCUUUGAGUUUCGCCUACAUACCUAAUAAAAUUGAUAUUUGUGCAUCAUA